GGCGGCGCCGGGAGCCCCGCGGCCGCCGGGCCGGGGGGGGGGUCGGGGGCUCGUCCGCGGCCUGCCCGCUCCACGGACGACCACAGCAUUGGUGGAUCCACUCCGAAACCGCCACAAAAUUUGCACUGCGACUUUCUGAGGCAAAAUAGUGUUUUUCUGAGGCAAAACGCAGUAGCGGCCUGCCUUAAAACCCCGCUCCUGAAACUGCGUUGUUUGUAGCGGAGAUUUACAGGCGCCCGGAUACCUGCGCAGUGGGCGAGGAGCAGAAAGGUGCCGACAGUGAAAACCGGCCUUUCCAACUGUGCCCUGUCAGAGCCUGACCCAAAUAACACGGGAAAAGCGGCAGAAAAGUAAAAUGCACAACCAAGGCACUUUAUUUCUGUAAACAGCACCUCUGCCCAGCUGUUUCCAAACCAGUCAUUACUGACUAAUUGCUUGUGGUGUUUCAGAACGGAAACAGCCCUUCGGAGGGACCUGAAGGCAGAUUAUCACGUUUUGCACAGUUGCAUGUCAUGCUCACAGCUGUUCAUUGAACUGUUCUGUCUUCUCAUAUUUUACAGCUUGAAGAACUAUUUUGUGUAAGUACAAGGUAUAGCGCAAUGGAACCGUAAUGCCACCCUCAACAUAAAUAAUAUAAAUAAACAGCAAGUUAUUUAUUUUGCUUGCUUUUCAUUGGGAAAUUAGGAAAUGAUGAACAAAUUUUCUCUUGGCAAAAUUCAGUUGUCUGUUCCUGCCAGAACUUUAUAAUAAUUGGGAAUAUCUUUUGGGGUUUGUUUCCUCCUUACGCUAAGUGCAGGUGCUGCACACCCUAUCACGAAGCCUUGCAUUACAACACACCAGAAUAAGAAGUAUAAAACUGGAGUAGGACACACACUGCACCUACGCCGUAUUUCCAGGGGGGAUUUUCCCCAGCUAUCCCUGAAGAGAGAGGUAUGCAGCAGCUCGGGCGCAGCACAGAAAGGAGAAGGUCGCAAGGUCCUGGCAUCCUGUGACUGGGUUCCCACUGAUUUCAGCUGAAGUAAGACGGAUGUAGUCUCUUCGGUGAUGGAGUAGGUUACUUCUGCAGCUAGACAAGAUGGAAGCAUUUCACAACCAUUAUCUUUAAAUAUUCACAAAUUCAACAUAGAGAAUUAGCA